rnacentral:rRNA from 1 species
UACGUAGGCAGCGAGCGUUGUUCGGAGUUACUGGGCGUAAAGAGUGCGUAGGCGGUUUUCUAAGUUUGGUGUGAAAUCUCCCGGCUUAACUGGGAGGGUGCGCCGAAGACUGGAAGGCUUGAGUAUGGGAGAGGUAAGCGGAAUUCCUGGUGUAGCGGUGAAAUGCGUAGAUAUCGGGAGGAACACCAGUGGCGAAAGCGGCUACCUGGCCCAUUCUUGACGCUGAGGCGCGAAAGCUAGGGGAGCAAACGGG